AGUCUUAUAGUCAACAAUGAUUUUAAUUUGCAAAAUUAAAGGAGAAUUCAGUUCUAAGGCUU
rnacentral:tRNA from 1 species